AGAGAGAGAGAGAGAGAGAGAGGUUCUAAGUCUGACAGAAGGAUACUUGCCUACUCAGAAACAAGAGACAAGAAUGGGGAAAAUGUUAAAAGGAACUCCAAUUUUUGGAUUUACUUUUGAGACACAAUUCCUCUGGAACAUGUUAUAGAAGCAGUUUCCUUGUGUAUGACUAUUUUCUCAACAAGAAUGAAGCAUCCAUAGGAGACAAGUAUACUGCAAGUGCUGGGCCAUGCAGAAUAUUCCUACUGGGGCAGACUGAUCUCUUAAGUCUAUGAUAGUUACCUUGAUGGAUAAAGGGCCGUUGCCAUCUUCCUUACAUGGAAAAUCUGGCAGCCAGUAGAAAACAGGAAGAGAUCACCAGCAUGAUUCUAAGGGAACAGCCAACCAGUACCUGGAGGUGAAUGGAGUUCUUGCUACAAAAUCUUUGGCCUAUUCCUUAUCCAUACAGAUGCCUAGGCUUAAAGAUUAGGAACAUCCAGAGUAUACAGACCAGAAGCAGGUACAAGUGACCCCAGCUGAAUUCCCGAGGCCUACAGGAGUAUUAAGAAAGAGGAAUCAAGGAGACAGCUUCCAUGUGUUCAAAAUUCCCGAGGACUUCUUAUGAGGGUGACUUCCUCAUGUAUGACUACUUCCUCUAUUUGGGGUAGAGUCUAUUGGAAGUACCUGGUCAUGCUUAGUAUGGGUACAGGAUCCAAGCGGUUAUUGAGGACAAGAGUAAUUAUGGUGAAGGGGCAUUGCAGGACUCCAGACAUGGAGAACUUGGCAUCCAGUUGGAAAUAGGAGACAAUUGCUAGCACACUUGGGAGAAAGUGAAGGAUCCGUUCAGCAGUGUAAAGCAUAUAUUUGAUUCUCUGGAUAUGAGGCACUGAAGCAUGUACCAGGACCUUCUGGGGGUCAAGGGACAAGGACAAAGAAAGUCGACCAUAGCCUCUGAAAAAGCAUACCAAGACUUUCAGAGUUGAAAGGGACUUUGAAGUGCAUCUAGUCCCACCCCAAAUCUGAACAUGAGUCACCUCUGCAGCACCCCCAACAAAUGGCCAUCUUUGCUCCAAUGAGGAAGAACCCACUACAUCCCAAGAUAGCUUGCACUGAAGCCUUUACCAGGAUCCUUCAUGGGAAAUGACCAAUGGGCAAGGACCUCCACCACAGCUUGUGUCCCUGGAAAAGCAUCCUGUCAAGUAUUCCAAGGUGGAGACAGGAAUUCCAAAGGGGAGAUAGCCAUUAUCAAGAAUCAAGUAAACAAUCUGAGCAGCAGGCCCCACCCAGUACACGGGAACAUCCCGAACUGACCCCGGCAGCAGGAGCAGAUACUUUAUUACCAGAGUCUGAUGAGAACUGUGGACAACUUCAACUCUUGCUCUUGACCAAAUGGUUAUCAACAGGAAAACCUCAACUCCUUUGAAUUCCUUCAGUCCAUGAGUCUGGACCAGAGGAAUAAAAGACACGGGAAUUUUAAUUCUGUUAUUAAAAACUCUGUGAUACUAAUGCAUUGUUGGUAGAGUUGUGAAAUGAUCCAACCAUUCUAGAGAGUAAUUUGGAACUAUGCCUAA